ensembl:lncRNA
AGUCUUUGCUUUAGAUUUUGUGGUAUUUGGUGCUACUGAUUUCUAAUAUUCAUUCUCCCCUUCGUUGUUAGUUAUAGUUUCAGAUUUUUCAACUGGGCACAUUACUGCCCAUGUAAUAGGGCAUAUUUUCCAAUGUUUCUGGACGCUAGAUGAGGCUACCUGCCAAUGAAAGAUAUCACUGAAGGCUUUGUGAGGUAUAGCCAUAUCUAUCCAGGAGUUCACAUCGUGGUUCAGUGGUAAGGAAUCCAAUUAGCAUCUAUGAGGACUUGAGUUCAAUCUGUGGCCUUUCUCAGAGGGUUAAGGAUCUGGGGUUGCUGUGAGGUGUGGUUAGGUCAUAGAUGCAGCUCUGAUCCUGCAUGACAGUAGCUGUGGCUGUGGUAUAGGCUGGCAGCUACAGUUCCAAUUCAGCCUCUAGCCUGAGAAUUUCCAUAUGCCAUGGGUGCGGCCCUAAAAAAACAAAUUAAAACAAAACCCCAAAACAAAAAGAAGAUGGAUGGUGUGUCCUUCCCUUCCUUUUUUCUCUGCUCUUCCACCUGGUGUAUGGAUCUGAUGGUGGAAAACUCUCACCAUAGUGCUAGGAACUGUCUUGGAUUGUGAGAGCGACAGGCAUACAGUAAGGAUAUUAGAGUAGAAAACUGAGAUUUCUGCGAACUCUCAUGACUGGGGAGCUGCUACACAAAUCUUGGCCUUUAUUUACAUGAGAGGUGAAUAUAAUUUUAUUUUUCAAGUGUCUAUAAGGCUCAGACCCCCAUAUAGAGAUGGUGAUUGAUAGAUACAGACUUGUUCAACUUUCAUCCUAUUAUCCAUAAAAGUUUUCAAAAUAUCUUCUCUCUUCACUUAGUCAUAUGAAAAAUAGCUAAGACCUAUUACAUACAAGCAGGAUCAAAAACCAGGCUCAGUCAACUAUUAGCUAUGUGACCUUGAGGAAGUCACUUAAUUUCUCUUGGCAUUAGUCACCUGGUCUGUAAAAUGGGUAUUAAAAAUAUUAUAGUGGUGUUGUCAGGAUUAAAUACAAUCAUGUACAUAAAAUGGCUAUCAGAUCAGGUGGCAGAAAUUAAGUAAUGAAUGACUUGAAAUUGCUGUUGGUAGAAGUGAUCUCUACAUAAACAAGGGCCCUCAUUACACUUUUCAUCUAACCAAAGAGGGACAAAAUGUGAAAGAAAUAAAGUGGACAGUCUCUCCAAAGUCUUCUAAAGAUGGAGUUCCCGUUGUGGUGCAGCGGAAAUGAAUCCUACUAGUACCCGUGAGAAUUCGGGUUCGAUCCUUGGCCUUGCUCAGGGGGUUAAGGAUCCGGUGUUGCUGUGAGCUGAGGUGUAGGUCGCAGACACGGCUCGGAUCCCAGAUUGCUGUGACUGUGGUGUAGCUCAGAUUUGACCCUUAGCCUGGGAACUUCCAUAUGCCGUGGGGGUGGCCCUAAAAAAAAAAAAAGCAAAAAAAUUAAAAAAAAAAAGAACUCUAAAAGAGGAUGCAAAUUCCUCAUUCAGACUAUGAUUUUUCGAAGACAGUUUCCCCUGAGAACACGUGUGUUAUGAAGCCAUCCAAUACAUAUGUUGCUGUUGGCCUGGCAUGUCCUUAACAAGCAUGUGAGCCUUUCUCACUGCACCUUGAGGAAUUUAGCAUAUGGUCCUCAACAUCUCAGGAUUGUCCAGAGUGCAAUUCAACAUGAAUCUCUGUUCAAACACAACCGAUUAAACAUUUCAUGGCAUAAAAUUGCAUCUAAUGGAAUUAGGAUGUUAUUUUAUUUUAUGGAUUUGCAUCUGUCCCUGAUCACCCUAAAACCAUCUCUUUCUGCCCCACUUGAAAAACUUGUCAGUCAUUCCUGCUGAUAGAGCAGGUUUUGGAAGACAAACCGACCUCAUUAGGCUUCUUGAUACACAUCUGCAGGAGAAAGGAAAACACAUUGCAGGAAUCUAUUGAAUUUCAGCACUUUGCUGGUCUGGUAGCAAAUGACUACUAUAGCCUAGCAUCACUCAAAAUAUUUACAAUUUAACAUACAGAGAUGAGAUGACUCUAGUUAUGACCUCAAAAUAUGCAUGUAACAGAUUAAUCACUUCUAUGGUUAUAAAAUUUCUAAAUAGGAGGUGAAAAGAGCUAGAGUUUUUACAUGUCUUAAUGUGCAAGAUGCAUUGCUUGAUGACUUAAAAAUAAAAUAUUGCCCUUUUUUUACUAUUUAAAAUAACUGUGAGAGAGGCAUUAUUUUGCCAGCUUUAUAAGAAAAUUUCUUCAAGGUUCAUUGCUAGUAAUUGACCACAAUCUCAUGCCUAGUAAAUGAGGCAAGCACAAUUCAAACGUGUCUGUUUGAAUUCGAAGAUUUUAUUUCAUGUAUACAAUACUGUAAAUAUUAAUUGAAAAACAAUAGGAUAAUUAAACUGAAGACAUAUUUAUUAUAGUCUAAUGCAAAUUUUCAUUAGAGUAUUAGACAGGUAGAUGGCU